UUCUGGUUUGGAGGAGUGGCUCAGAGAAAUGCCUGAACAGAAUUGAUAAAUCCUCGCAAUCACCAAUAGGAAGAGAAAUAGCAAGAAGAGGAAAUAGUCACACAAUACUGAGUCUUCAAAGCAGAACAUCUCUGUUUUCAAAAACUGGACUUUGUGUGAUCAGAAGCAGAAACUGACAAUUCCAAUAUCAUUAAGAGUUUUGAUGUGGGUCAGAUGUGGGCCAGACACCGAUGCGGGAGGACAAGGGAAUGCACAGCCCUGGAACACAGGACCAGAACACAGAGGGCAGGGUGAAGACCAGAGGUGUUGUCGUCCUCUCCUGAAGGAGAUGUCAUCGCCCCUGAGACAGCACCCCCAGGACUCAUACAGAGAGAGAGAGUGCAAGCAAAGGAAGAGGCAGAGGGAGAAGAAGUGACAGAAUUUCAAGCAGACUCAGCACUGAGCUUGGAGCCCCACAUGGCGUUCAAUUUCACAACCCCGAGAUCACUAUCUGAGAUCAUGACCAAAGCCGAAAGACACUCAACCAACUCAGCCACCCAGGCACCCCAGUUAUUAUAGGCACUACAAAUGUAAGUCAGAAAACAAAGCUUUCUGUGUCCACUGGGGAAAUCUGAAAAAGUAUGACGAAGGGGGUCUUGAGUAGAGCCUAAUGGGACACAUGGGAUUGAGAUCUUAGAAGAGAUUGGAAGGAAGAAGAAGAACACCAUGAAGGUUUGCAGGAUUCUCCUUCAUUCUGAAUGAUGUAAUAAUGAUCCUACACUGUUCUUUAUCACCUUUGCUACCUGUCUAUAAAAUGCCCAGGCACAAUCAAGUUCACUUUUAAAAAUCUUUGUUGAGGGGCACCUGGGUGGCUCUGUGGGUUGGGCCUCUGCCUUUGGAUCAGGUCAUCUGGGUCCUGGGAUCGAGCCCCACGUUGCACUCUCUGCUCAGCAGGGAGCCUGCCCCCCGCACCCCUGCCUGCCUCUCUGCCUACUUGUGAUCUCUCUCUGUCUGUCAAAUAAAUAAAUAAAAUCUUUUUUUAAAUCAAUAAAUAAGUAAAUAAAUAAAAUAAA
rnacentral:lncRNA from 1 species